UGCUGUAAAUCAGCAACAAAAACACAAGUUGCGGAAAAAGCUCAACAGCUCUGGCAGCAUCUGUGAAAAAAGAAAAAAAAUUAGAGUUAACGUUUCGUGUCCGGUGACCCUCAGAACAGCAACGUUCCGGCCGGUGUUUGCACGCAGGCGCAGCGUCUUUCUGACCGCCGUAAGCUGCUGAUUGCCGGUUUUGUCGGAGCUGUUAAAGGAACAAAGAAUAAGCUGCUGGGGAAAACAGUGAAGGAAGGCUUUCUCCUACGCAGGGAAUCAGGGCCACGAUCAGGGCAUUUCUGGUUGCAGCAGCAGCGCGAGCGUGAGCUUGGAGCAGGGGCCUGUCGGGAAGCCGGGUCCCAAUGCACUGCCACCGAUGUUGGAAUUUGGGAUCUCGGGGUUUAUGCUCCCAUCCCAGAAUGUGAUUUUUGAAGUCCCGGUGGUCCCUCUGGAUUACCACACCUAGAGCCUGGAUGAAGACUUGGGACUGUGUGGGUUUGUACGUUUGGGUUGAGUCGGCUGAUGCGCAAAGGUGUGUUUUGGGUUCAUGUACGGGAUGGCCUUCCGGAGGAAGUACUGGGUGCGGGUAUUGUUACAGCAUUUAAAAGGCAGUUGGGUUGUUUAUGGUGUUGUGAAAUGCUGCUGCUGAUGAUCCUCGUAGAUUGUGGACACUGCUGUCACGGUGCGGUACGAGUGAAGUGAGUUAAUAUCGUUCCAAACAUGAGGCUGCUUUGUGCUGGAUGGUGUCAAGCUUAUUGAAUAUUGUUGGAGCUGCAUUCACCCAGACAAGUGAAGAGAAUUCCAAGACAGUGCUGACCUGUGCAGUGCAGAUGGACAGCAUGUAUUCUGUGGGAUGCUUUUGUUUUUAAAACUCCUUUUCAUUGCAAAAUAUCGUUUCGGUGUUUGGGAACAUUUAUUUUGUCCUGUCAAUGAUGAAUGGCCAGUUCUGGACAGAGAACUGUGCUUUAUUUUCUUGCAGAUUGAGAGUGGCCAGGCCUCUGCAUGUUCAGUUGUGAUUGUUUUCAAUCUGUGUUCUCCCAGCAAUUGCUAACGUGUGCAAUGAGAGCAAACAGUCAGUUUCCUGAGUGAAACGAGUCUUUUUUUUAAAUGUUCUGUGGACUGUGAUUGCUCACAAUUGUAUGUGUGCAAACUGCACUUGCUCAGUCCUGUGUGAGCAGUUGUU